rnacentral:rRNA from 1 species
CGGAUGGGUGAGUAACGCGUGGAAAACCUGCCGUAUACUGGGGGAUAACACUUAGAAAUAGGUGCUAAUACCGCAUAAGCGCACAGCUUCGCAUGAAGCGGUGUGAAAAACUCUGGUGGUAUACGAUGGUUCCGCGUCUGAUUAGCUAGUUGGUGGGGUAAUGGCCUACCAAGGCAACGAUCAGUAGCCGGCCUGAGAGGGUGAACGGCCACAUUGGGACUGAGACACGGCCCAAACUCCUACGGGAGGCAGCAG